GGGUUGUGAGGUUAAGCGAAUAAGCGUACACGGUGGAUGCCUAGGCAAUCAGAGGCGAUGAAGGACGUGCUAAUCUGCGAAAAGCGUCGGUAAGGUGAUAUGAACCGUUAUACCCGACGAUAUCCGAAUGGGGAAACCCAGUAUCCAAUGGAUACUAUCAUUAACUGAAUCCAUAGGUUAAUGAGGCGAACCGGGAGAACUGAAACAUCUCAGUACCCCGAGGAAAAGAAAUCAACCGAGAUUCCCCUAGUAGCGGCGAGCGAACGGGGAGCAGCCCAGAGUCUUAAUCAAUAGCAGUGUCAGGAGAACGGUCUGGAAAGUCCGGCAGUAAAGGGUGAUAGCCCCGUAUCUGAAGAUGCUGUUAUUGUGAACUCGACGAGUAGGGCGGGACACGUGUUAUCCUGUCUGAAUAUGGGGGGACCAUCCUCCAAGGCUAAAUACUCCUGAUUGACCGAUAGUGAACCAGUACCGUGAGGGAAAGGCGAAAAGAACCCCGGCGAGGGGAGUGAAAAAGAACCUGAAACCGUGUACGUACAAGCAGUAGGAGCCUCUUUAUGGGGUGACUGCGUACCUUUUGUAUAAUGGGUCAGCGACUUAUAUUCUGUAGCAAGGUUAACCGUAUAGGGGAGCCGUAGGGAAACCGAGUCUUAACUGGGCGAAUGAGUUGCAGGGUAUAGACCCGAAACCCGGUGAUCUAUCCAUGGGCAGGUUGAAGGUUGGGUAACACUAACUGGAGGACCGAACCGACUAAUGUUGAAAAAUUAGCGGAUGACUUGUGGAUGGGGGUGAAAGGCCAAUCAAACCGGGAGAUAGCUGGUUCUCCCCGAAAGCUAUUUAGGUAGCGCCUCGUGAACUCAUCUUCGGGGGUAGAGCACUGUUUCGACUAGGGGGUCAUCCCGACUUACCAACUCGAUGCAAACUGCGAAUACCGAAGAAUGUUAUCACGGGAGACACACGGCGGGUGCUAACGUCCGUCGUGAAGAGGGAAACAACCCAGACCGCCAGCUAAGGUCCCAAAGUCAUGGUUAAGUGGGAAACGAAGUGGGAAGGCUCAGACAGCCAGGAUGUUGGCUUAGAAGCAGCCAUCAUUUAAAGAAAGCGUAAUAGCUCACUGGUCGAGUCGGCCCGCGCGGAAGAUGUAACGGGGCUAAACCAUGCACCGAAGCUGCGGCAGCGACACAAAGUGUUGUUGGGUAGGGGAGCGUUCUGUAAGCCUGCGAAGGUGUACUGUGAGGUAUGCUGGAGGUAUCAGAAGUGCGAAUGCUGACAUAAGUAACGAUAAUGCGGGUGAAAAACCCGCACGCCGGAAGACCAAGGGUUCCUGUCCAACGUUAAUCGGGGCAGGGUGAGUCGACCCCUAAGGCGAGGCUGAAAAGCGUAGUCGAUGGGAAACGGGUUAAUAUUCCCGUACUGGUGGUAACUGCGAUGGGGGAACGGAGAAGGCUAGGUUGUCCGGGCGACGGUCGUCCCGGUUCAAGCAGGUAGGCAGAGUGAUUAGGCAAAUCCGGUCACUUAAUGCUGAGAUGUGAUGACGAACCACCAAGGUGGUGAAGCAAUUGAUGCCCCGCUUCCAGGAAAAGCCUCUAAGCUUCAGGUUACCAACAAUCGUACCCCAAACCGACACAGGUGGUCAGGUAGAGAAUACUCAGGCGCUUGAGAGAACUCGGGUGAAGGAACUAGGCAAAAUGGUGCCGUAACUUCGGGAGAAGGCACGCUGGCGGUAGGUAAAGUCCCUCGCGGACGGCGCUGAAGCCAGUCGAAGAUACCAGCUGGCUGCAACUGUUUAUUAAAAACACAGCACUGUGCAAACACGAAAGUGGACGUAUACGGUGUGACGCCUGCCCGGUGCUGGAAGGUUAAUUGAUGGGGUUAGCCGUAAGGCGAAGCUCCUGAUCGAAGCCCCAGUAAACGGCGGCCGUAACUAUAACGGUCCUAAGGUAGCGAAAUUCCUUGUCGGGUAAGUUCCGACCUGCACGAAUGGCGUAAUGAUGGCCAGGCUGUCUCCACCCGAGACUCAGUGAAAUUGAACUCGCUGUGAAGAUGCAGUGUACCCGCGGCAAGACGGAAAGACCCCGUGAACCUUUACUAUAGCUUGACACUGAACAUUGAGCCUUGAUGUGUAGGAUAGGUGGGAGGCUUUGAAGUGUGGACGCCAGUCUGCAUGGAGCCAACCUUGAAAUACCACCCUUUAACGUUUGAUGUUCUAACCUAGGCCCAUAAACUGGGUCGGGGACCGUGUCUGGUGGGUAGUUUGACUGGGGCGGUCUCCUCCUAAAGAGUAACGGAGGAGCACGAAGGUUGGCUAAGCAUGGUCGGACAUCAUGCGGUUAGUGCAAAGGCAUAAGCCAGCUUGACUGCGAGAGUGACGGCUCGAGCAGGUACGAAAGUAGGUCUUAGUGAUCCGGUGGUUCUGAAUGGAAGGGCCAUCGCUCAACGGAUAAAAGGUACUCCGGGGAUAACAGGCUGAUACCGCCCAAGAGUUCAUAUCGACGGCGGUGUUUGGCACCUCGAUGUCGGCUCAUCACAUCCUGGGGCUGAAGUAGGUCCCAAGGGUAUGGCUGUUCGCCAUUUAAAGUGGUACGCGAGCUGGGUUUAGAACGUCGUGAGACAGUUCGGUCCCUAUCUGCCGUGGGCGUUGGAAGAUUGAGAGGGGUUGCUCCUAGUACGAGAGGACCGGAGUGAACGCACCACUGGUGUUCGGGUUGUCAUGCCAAUGGCAUUGCCCGGUAGCUAAGUGCGGAAGAGAUAACCGCUGAAAGCAUCUAAGCGGGAAACUUGCCUCGAGAUGAGUCUUCCCUGUCGCUUUAAGCGACCUAAAGGAACGUUUAAGACUAAGACGUUGAUAGGCUGGGUGUGUAAGCGUAGCGAUACGUUGAGCUAACCAGUACUAAUGAACCGUGAGGCUUAACCUGACAACACCGAAAGUGUUUUG
rnacentral:rRNA from 1 species